rnacentral:rRNA from 1 species
UGGCUCAGGACGACGCUGGCGGCGUGCCUAACACAUGCAAGUCGAACGAGGUCCAUGCAGUGGCAACACUGCGGAAGACCUAGUGGCGAACGGGUGAGUAACACGUGAGGAACCUGCCCCGAAGACCGGGAUAACCCUCCGAAAGGAGAGCUAAUACCGGAUACCCCCACCUGGUCGCAUGGCCGGGUGAGGAAAUGGAUUCCGCUUCGGGAGGGCCUCGCGGCCUAUCAGCUAGUUGGUGAGGUAACGGCUCACCAAGGCAUCGACGGGUAGCUGGUCUGAGAGGACGAUCAGCCACACUGGGACUGAGACACGGCCCAGACUCCUACGGGAGGCAGCAGUGGGGAAUCUUGCGCAAUGGGCGAAAGCCUGACGCAGCAACGCCGCGUGGGGAUGAAGGCUCUCGGGUUGUAAACCCCUUUCAGCAGGGACGAAAUUGACGGUACCUGCAGAAGAAGCCCCGGCUAACUACGUG